ACUUGCCCAAUCUGCCGGAAAUCACGAAGAAGAAAUGAUUGCGUUCAUAGCAAUGGCGCAGAAUUCGAAUCGAGUGAAAAUAGGUGAUUGUCGUGUCUACUGGUGAUUAUGUAAAACUUGUUUCGGCGUACUCUUGACUGAAAAAAGAAAGGUGCAAAACUGAAGGAGAAUGUUGGCAGCCACUCAAAAUAUACUCCACACGCGUAACGAAGUUGGCCUGGCAGGGCGCCUUUGAUGCCGGCGUCGAGACGAGGGACCUCGAACGAAAAACGAAGCGCCGUCCAGUCCAUCUGCGACAUUGGAGCUUUUUGGUGAUUUGCCCCAAUCCACCAAAACCAGCGACACGCUGCCUCUAGGCAGGUGAAAUGUGGUGCAAGGCAAUGCUGCGCAGCCAUAGCAGUUACUGGCUAAAAAGAAAACCUACUUUUGACAUUGCAGUGCUGUGUAAGACCUCCCAAAAAAAAGGCAGUUUUGAAGCUGAUGGAAGAAUCAUCAAGAUACUAUGUGGACAUGCGGGAGAUAAAUACAACCAUUAUUAACAUGAGUAGCACAAUUCAGAUUUUUUUUCUCCCCUGAUAAGGCAAUUAUUAAAUAAUUAUUCGUACGAUUGCUUUUUAGCUUAGUUGUUUUUAUUAGUAUUGUUACAAUGUACCUUUUUUGCGGUUUGUUUUUUUUUGUGCGUGUGUGUGUUGUUGUAAUAAAUCCCUUUUGGAGAUUACCCUGAA